UACAGAGGGUGCGAGCGUUGUUCGGAAUUAUUGGGCGUAAAGCGCGCGUAGGCGGCUUUUCAAGUCGGGUGUGAAAGCCCUCAGCUCAACUGAGGAAGUGCGCCCGAAACUGGGAGGCUUGAGUGUCGGAGAGGAUGGCGGAAUACCCCAAGUAGAGGUGAAAUUCGUAGAUAUGGGGUGGAACACCGGUGGCGAAGGCGGCCAUCUGGACGACAACUGACGCUGAGGCGCGAAAGCGUGGGUAGCAAACAGG
rnacentral:rRNA from 1 species